rnacentral:rRNA from 1 species
UACGUAGGGACCAAGCGUUGUUCGGAUUUACUGGGCGUAAAGGGCGCGUAGGCGGCAAAUUAAGUCAUCUGUGAAAUCUCCGAGCUUAACUCGGAACGGUCAGGUGAUACUGAUCUGCUAGAGUGCGGAAGGGGCAAUCGGAAUUCUUGGUGUAGCGGUGAAAUGCGUAGAUAUCAAGAGGAACACCUGAGGUAAAGACGGGUUGCUGGGCCGACACUGACGCUGACAGCGCGAAAGCCAGGGGAGCAAACGGG